CUCUGUUACAUUCCGUUUGUGGACAAAAGAUAAAUACAUGUUUUACAAUGUCAUAAGCCUGUGCCACAUAAGCAUUCUUUAGAUUGUAAAGCGAAAGUGCCGACACGGAUAAGGUAGAAUAUGUCAUAGAAAUAAUCUGAAUCAUUAAGAGCUAUUAACCAAAGUUUGUUACUAGCAGCUGGAUUGCGUAGGAGAGCGUAUCGGGCUUUAUUCUGAAGAAUCCGACCUUGUGAGAAAUUG